CCUACGGGCGGCAGCAGUGAGGAAUAUUGGUCAAUGGGCGCGAGCCUGAACCAGCCAAGUAGCGUGAAGGAUGACGGCCCUACGGGUUGUAAACUGCGUUUAUAAAGGAAUAAAGUGAGGCACGUGUGCCUUUUUGCAUGUACCUUAUGAAUAAGGAUCGGCUAACUCCGUGCCAGCAGCCGCGGUAAUACGGAGGGACCGAGCGUUAUCCGGAUUUAUUGGGUUUAAAGGGAGCGUAGAUGGGUUGUUAAGUCAGUUGUGAAAGUUUGCGGCUCAACCGUAAAAUUGCAAUUGAUACUGGCAGCCUUGAGUACACUUGAGGUAGGCGGAAUUCGUGGUGUAGCGGUGAAAUGCUUAGAUAUCACGAAGAACUCCGAUUGCGAAGGCAGCUUACUAGACUGCCACUGACAUUGAUGCUCGAAAGUGUGGGUAUCAAACAGGAUUAGAUACCCCUGUAGUC
rnacentral:rRNA from 1 species